AUUGAACGCUGGCGGCAUGCCUUACACAUGCAAGUCGAACGGUAACGGGCCUUCGGGUGCCGACGAGUGGCGAACGGGUGAGUAAUGCAUCGGGAACGUACCUUUCAGUGGGGGAUAACGUAGCGAAAGUUACGCUAAUACCGCAUAUUCUGUGAGCAGGAAAGCAGGGGAUCGCAAGACCUUGCGCUGAUUGAGCGGCCGAUGUCAGAUUAGCUAGUUGGUGAGGUAAAGGCUCACCAAGGCGACGAUCUGUAGCGGGUCUGAGAGGAUGAUCCGCCACACUGGAACUGAGACACGGUCCAGACUCCUACGGGAGGCAGCAGUGGGGAAUUUUGGACAAUGGGGGCAACCCUGAUCCAGCCAUGCCGCGUGAGUGAAGAAGGCC
rnacentral:rRNA from 1 species